rnacentral:lncRNA from 1 species
GCAGCUGGCCUCUGAAGACCUGGGAGCUGAGGUUGCCGCCCUGAAGGAGCUGGAGGUGGACAAGCCCCUUUUGGGGAAUUCAGCUGGGCAUGUGUUGGGGUGACAGUAGAUCACUGGAACGAGUGGGACUAUUUAAAAGAGGAAGAGGCAAAGACUGCUGUGAUUUGGAUUUGGUGGGCUCAAAGAGUCAUCUGAAAACCCUAGUAAGACAAAGAAUUUGAAAGAGAGAAGUGUAUCUAUAAUAUAUAAAUAGAAGUCUUUGGGACAUGGGUGAAGACUUCAUAUAUGGAUAUAUAGCUCACAGCUGGUAAGCCAUCACGAAGCUGGUGAUGUAGUAAAGGCAGAAUUUUAAACAGAAUUUUAUGAAUGUUUUAUUUUCAUGAGAAACGUCAUGGAAGGGGAAAGAUUUUGGGGGUAAGAUUUGUUUCCUUUUAUGUGUUAUGUGGGAAUAACUACACUUGAACUCCAAGCUAGUAUGAAGAUUCUUAGAGCGCCUGUCAAAGCCCGUUAUCUCAAUACACCCAUAAUAAAGAACAGAGGUCUGAAGUUUUCACAGACCCUUUGUGUCCUCAUUAUGUGACUUUAGGCAAGUCCCCUUGUCUUCCUAAGUCACAGUUUGUUGUCAUCUGUCAAGUGAGAAUGGUAUCAACUCACAGAGUUGCUGAGAAUAUAAAAUAAUAUGGUCCAUAAAUAACCCAGUGCUUGGCUCAUGUAAGACCUCAAUUAAUUCUUGCUUUUGCCAAAACAACAAUUAAAAUAUACAUACUGCAAAAUGUCAGGCAUAUAGCAAAUGUGCAUGAAAAAUCAGAUUCUCUUUCUUGUAAAUAUAUGCUUCCUUUUUUUCUUUCCUUUUCUUUUUUUUUUUUUUUAUUUUUUUGAGACAGAAUCUCGCUGUGUCCCCCAGGCUGGAGUGCGUGGCGCCAUCUCGGCUCACUGCAACCUCUGCCUCCUGGGUUCAAGUGAUUCUCCUUUCUCAGCCUCCCAACUAGCUGGGAUUACAGGUGUGAGCCACCAUGCUCGGCUAAUUUUUGUAUUUUUAUCAGAGACGGGAUUUCACCAUAUUGGUCAGGCUGGUCUCAAACUCCUGACCUCAGGUGAUCCACCCGUCUUGGCCUGGGAUUACAGGUGUGAGCCAUUGCACCCAGCCCGUGCUUUCUAUUUUAAAGGAAAGUAAUAUGUGUAAGGUUAAUUCAAGGCAUACAAGUGUCACUAAAGAUUUUGAUCUUCAUUCAACCACUGAUUACGGCCUUGUACGGAUGGACUUUCAGCAGCAGGAACCCAAAAUCAUUGGUGAAAUAGGAAAGCUAUUGUACAGAUAUUAGAAAAAUAAGACCUUCACAGUCAUCAGAAAAGUUAUCACUUAAUGUCAUGUGUCAUCAGUCCUUUCUUGUGAUUGAUUAUGUUUGUAUACAUGCACUUGAAAUGUGUUUUUAAAAGAGUAUUAUAAGAGAUAUUUUUCCAGUAAGUACAAUAAGCAUUCAAUAGUAGAACAAAUAGAACAUUGAUAUCUCAUUAUUAGUAUUGCUCACAUGUGUAUUAUGAGGCAGAAUUAAAGCUGAAAUGCAAUAAGAGCCAUAUUUUAUCAUAAUAGAUAUUUUUCAUUUUCUGAAAUAAUAUAAUAAAAUAAUGUGGUUGGUUAAAGUAUGUACACACAGGCUAUCAAUUAAGAUGUUUUAAAUUUAAUUAAAUAUUAAAUAAUAAAAGCCACAAGGGGAAGUAAGGGAAGUAAGACAAUUCUUUCUUUAACAUACAACACAUUUAAAUGUUUUCUGAUAAUUAUAGAAAUAUCAAAAUCAGAUCAAUCUUCAUACCUCAGAAAAUUAAAUGAUUAAAUACUGGAGACUAUUAAAACAAAUAAAACUGUUUAUUCCACAACUUUGCACAGCUAAAAAAAAAUCUUCUAUCAUGUCUAGAAACAUGUUUCUGACAUAUGCACACCUCACCAGCAUAUCUCAGGUUAUUAUACACCUCCAACCACAGCCUCACGGUGGCAGGCAGUCAGUAAGAUGGACCCCAGUGAUCCCUGCCUCCUGGUAUUCACAGUCUAGGGUAAUCUCCUUCCCUUGAGUGUGAGCCUGUGGCUUACUUCUAACCAAUAAGAGUACAGCAAAAGCAAUGGGAUGUCAAUUCUGUGAGUAUGUAAAAUUGUAACUUCCAUCUUGCAAGCCAACUCUCUUCUUUGCUGGCUUUCAUGACGCAAUAUACCAUGUUGGAGGGGCUCGCGUGGCGAAGAACUGAGAGGCCUGUAGGAACAAAGUCCAAUAGCCAGGUAGGAAGGAGUCCCUCAGUCCCACAACCCAAGGAAACUGAAUUCUGUCAACUAACACGCAUGUAAGUGAGCUUGGAAGUGACUUCUUCCCCAAGUGAGUCUUCAGAUGAGGUCCUAGCCAACUUUUUGAUUGCAGCUUGUGACAGACCCUGAAGCAAAGGACUCAGCUAAGUUGUGUCCUAAUUCCUCCACUGUGAGAAAAUAAAUGUGUGUUUUUUAAAAUGCUAAAUUUGUGGUAAUUUCUUAUUCAGUAAUAGAUAGCUAAUACAUGCGUGUACAUACAAACACACGCACACACACUGUAUUUGGCUUUCACACUGAGGAGAACACAGUUAGUAGGCCCUUUUCAUGUGGCUUUUAAGGAGGCAUAAUUACUUUUCUUCGUCUGUGAUCCACCUUUGUGUUCUUCAGGUUCUUUUCCAGGCCUUUGCCCCGAGUGUGUGGGGGACCAAAGGGACGUCAUGCUAUAUGGAUGGUAUUGCAAAUUCAUAUCCUUGGAUCUGAAAGUAGUCCUAGAACAUAUCCUAAGGAGAUCAUCUAUCAAGAUUAGAGAAUUUCCUUCAUGAUGUUGUUUAUCGUGGCAAAACUAGGAACAACCUGAAUACCAGUCCCUCCAAGAAGCUAUUGAAUAAUAUGGGUAUCCCUGUUCAGGAAAAAUGCAAACAAACCACUAAAAAGAGUAAAAUAAUCUUUAUUGAUAUGAAAAGAUGUUUAAUGUUUACUAUUACAUUUUUAAAAGAAGUUAAAAAUCUCAUUAAAAACUAGUUUAAAAUCCACUCUUAUUCCAUGCUUGUAUUAUAGAUAAUAUAUAUGUAGUUUUUUUUAAGUAGAAAAAUUUCUGGAAAAACACUUAUUAAAAUGCUAUUUGUUUUCUAUGAAUAGAGUAAAACCAGAUAAGUGAAAGAAAAUACCCGUGUUUUCUAUAUUUUCUACGAUGUUUAUUCCUGAAUAGAUGUUUCAAGGCUUUCAUUAUGUUCAUAGAUUAAUUGAAGUGAAUGGAAACUGUUUCUUAGACAACCUAAAAUAUAUCCCAAUUCCAAAGUCCAGGUCUGUCUUCAUUGCUUCGAGUGCAGUUGUAUGAAAUACUUCUCAGUGAGGCCAAAUUUCUUAAUAAUGAUUAAUUCCAGUUUCAUUUUUCACCCUCUUCAUUCCAUUUGAGAAGAGUAGUGGAAAGGAGUAUGGUACCAUACCCCACACUUUAGACCUAUGGUCUUGUAGAACUUCUUAGGGAUCUACUUUGAUAAAAAUUUAAUUUGCUGGUUACAUCAGAUGAUGUCACACAGUUAAUGAGCAUUCUCUCCUAUGCUGUACCUUCUCUGUUCUACUAAUAUAGCUAUGGUCAAUUUUUCUAUCAUGGAGAAGAAUCUGUGGAUAACUCCUACUAUUUUUCUGGAAGUAAAAAUUUAACUGUUAUGUCGUAGAAAAUUCAAAUAUAUAUGAUUCCUUUGUAUAAACUAUGUACACAUAUGAUUAAUCCAUUGAUUAACACCUGUUUUCAGUAAUGUUAAUGCCAUCUUGAUCAUAACAUUUAAUUAAAAGGUGACAAAUGUUAGUUAAGUAAGCUGGAUACUGUACUCAAUAAAUAUAUAUGCUUUUAGAAACAUUAAAACAC